rnacentral:rRNA from 1 species
CCUACGGGAGGCAGCAGUGAGGAAUAUUGGACAAUGGGCGCAAGCCUGAUCCAGCCAUGCCGCGUGCAGGAUGACGGUCCUAUGGAUUGUAAACUGCUUUUAUACGGGAAGAAACCCUGGCUCGUGAGCCAGAUUGACGGUACCGUAAGAAUAAGGAUCGGCUAACUCCGUGCCAGCAGCCGCGGUAAUACGGAGGAUCCAAGCGUUAUCCGGAAUCAUUGGGUUUAAAGGGUCCGUAGGCGGUUUAAUAAGUCAGUGGUGAAAGCCCAUCGCUCAACGGUGGAACGGCCAUUGAUACUGUUAGACUUGAAUUAUUAGGAAGUAACUAGAAUAUGUAGUGUAGCGGUGAAAUGCUUAGAGAUUACAUGGAAUACCAAUUGCGAAGGCAGGUUACUACUAAUUGAUUAACGCUGAUGGACGAAAGCGUGGGUAGCGAACAGGAUUAGAUACCCUGGUAGUCCACGCCGUAAACGAUGGAUACUAGCUGUUGGGAGUAAUCUCAGUGGCUAAGCGAAAGUGAUAAGUAUCCCACCUGGGGAGUACGUUCGCAAGAAUGAAACUCAAAUGAAUUGACCGGNUGAGAGAGCGAGACGACGACGAGGGAGGAGG